rnacentral:rRNA from 1 species
GACGAACGCUGGCGGCGUGCCUCAUACAUGCAAGUCGAACGCAGUUGGGACGGGUGAUUAACACGUGGGUAACCUCCCAUCAGAGGGGAUAACACUUGGAAACAGGUGCUAAACCGAUACUGAUGUAUGUACCCGCGGUGCAUUAGCUAGUUGGUGAGGUAACGGCUCACCAAGGCCACGAUGAAUAGCCGGCCGGGGAGGAUGAUCGGCCACACUGGGACGGAGACACGGCCCAGACUCCUACGGGAGGCAGCAGUAGGGAAUCUUCGGAAAUGGACGAAAGUCUGACCGAGCAACGCCGCGUGAGUGAAGAAGGUUUUCGGAUCGUAAAGCUCUGUUGUUAGAGAAGCGGUAUCUAACCAGAAAGCCACGGCUAACUACGUGCCAGCAGCCGCGGUAAUAC